rnacentral:rRNA from 1 species
AGAGUUUGAUCCUGGCUCAGGAUGAACGCUAGCGGUGUGCUUUAUGCAUGCAAGUCGUACGAUUUUAGCUUGCUAAAAUAGUGGCGGACGGGUGAGUAACACGUAAGUAAUCCACCCUCAAGUUGGGGACAACCUUGGGAAACCGGGGCUAAUACCGAAUGUGAUGGUUUGACAUAAGUCAGAUUAUUAAAGCAGUAAUGCGCUUGAGGAGGAGCUUGCGGUCGAUUAGCUAGUUGGUAGGGUAAAAGCUUACCAAGGCUACGAUCGAUAGCUGGUCUGAGAGGACGAUCAGCCACACUGGGACUGAGACACGGCCCAGACUCCUACGGGAGGCAGCAGCAAGGAAUUUUGGGCAAUGGGCGAAAGCCUGACCCAGCAACACCGCGUGGGGGAUGACGGCCUUCGGGUUGUAAACCCCUUUUACUAGGGAAGAAUAAAAUGACGGUACCUAGUGAAUAAGCCCCGGCUAACUACGUGCCAGCAGCCGCGGUAAGACGUAGGGGGCAAGCGUUAUCCGGAUUUAUUGGGCGUAAAGAGAGCGUAGGCGGCUUUUCAAGUCGGAUGUGAAAUUUCCCAGCUUAACUGGGAGGGGUCAUUCGAUACUGUUAGGCUUGAGUGCAGCAGGGGGAAACGGAAUUCCCGGUGUAGUGGUGGAAUGCGUAGAUAUCGGGAGGAACACCAGAGGCGAAAGCGGUUUCCAAGGCUGUUACUGACGCUGAGGCUCGAAAGCGUGGGGAGCAAACAGGCUUAGAUACCCUGGUAGUCCACGCCAUAAACGAUGGAUACUAGGUAUAGGGAGUAUCGACCCUCUCUGUGCCGAAGCUAACGCUUUAAGUAUCCCGCCUGGGGAGUACGGUCGCAAGAUUAAAACUUAAAGGAAUUGACGG